rnacentral:rRNA from 1 species
GUGCCAGCCGCCGCGGUAACACCAGCGGCCCGAGUAGUAACCGAUUUUAUUGGGCCUAAAGCGUCCGUAGCCGGAUUGGCAAGUCCCUUGUGAAAUCGGGCGGCUUAACCGCUCGGCUUGCAAGGGAAACUGUCAGUCUUGGGACUGGUAGGCGCCUAGGGUACUCCAGGGGUAGCGGUGAAAUGCUAUAAUCUUCGGGGGACCGCCGGUGGCGAAAGCGCUCGGCGGGGCCGAACCCGACGGUGAGGGACGAAGGCCAGGGGAGCGAACCGGAUUAGAUACCCGGGUAGUCCUGGCUGUAAAGUAUGUGGGCCAGGUGCUUGGCGUUCCUCGAGAGCGUUGGGUGCCGAAGGGAAGCCGUUAAGCCCACCACCUGGGGAGUACGGUCGCA